rnacentral:rRNA from 1 species
UUGACCUCGGAUCAGGUAGGAAUACCCGCUGAACUUAAGCAUAUCAAUAAGCGGAGGAAAAGAAACCAACAGGGAUUGCCUCAGUAACGGCGAGUGAAGCGGCAACAGCUCAAAUUUGAAAUCUGGCCUCACGGCCCGAGUUGUAAUUUGUAGAGGAUGUUUUGGGCACCGCGGCGGUGUAAAUUUCUUGGAACAGAAUGUCAGAGAGGGUGAGAAUCCCGUCUUGGACCGCCGUAGGACCCGUGUAAAACUCCUUCGACGAGUCGACUUGUUUGGGAAUGCAGGUCAAAAUGGGUGGUAAAUUUCAUCUAAAGCUAAAUAUUGGCCAGAGACCGAUAGCGCACAAGUAGAGUGAUCGAAAGAUGAAAAGCACUUUGAAAAGAGAGUUAAACAGUAUGUGAAAUUGUUGAAAGGGAAGCGCUGGCAACCAGACUCGCGCGCGGGGUUCCCCCUUCCGUCAGGCUGGGUCACUUCCCCGCGUCCGGGCCAUCAUCAGUUUUGGGGGCCGGUCAAAGGCCCCGGGAAUGUAUCCACCCCUCCGGGGGUGGACUUAUAGCCCGGGGCGUCAUGCGGCCUCCCGGGACUGAGGAACGCGCUUCGGCGAGGAUGAUGGCGUAAUGGUUGUCAGCGGCCCGUCUUGAAACACGGACCAAGGAGUCUAACAUCUAUGCGAGUGUUCGGGUGUCAAACCCCUGCGCGGAAUGAAAGUGAACGGAGGUAGGAAGGCCUGAGCCUGCACUAUCGACCGAUCCUGAUGUCUUCGGAUGGAUUUGAGUAAGAGCAUAGCUGUUGGGACCCGAAAGAUGGUGAACUAUACGUGAAUAGGGUGAAGCCAGAGGAAACUCUGGUGGAGGCUCGCAGCGGUUCUGACGUGCAAAUCGAUCGUCAUAUUUGCGUAUAGGGGCGAAAGACUAAUCGAACUGUCUGGUAGCUGGUCCCUGC